GACGAACGGCUGGCGGCGUGCUUAACACAUGCAAGUUGGACGGCUGUGGAUGGAAGCUUGCUGAAGUGCACAGCAGUAGCGGACGGGUGAGUAAUGCAUGAGUACCUGCCCUGGGGAGGGGGACAACAGCUGGAAACGGCUGCUAAUACCCCGUAAGCCGGGAGGUGAAAGGGAGCGAUCCCGCCCUGGGAUGGGCUCAUGUCCUAUCAGCUGGUUGGUGAGGUAACGGCUCACCAAGGCGACGACGGGUAGCCGGACUGAGAGGUCGACCGGCCACACUGGAACUGAGAUACGGUCCAGACUCCUACGGGAGGCAGCAGUGGGGAAUAUUGGGCAAUGGGGGCAACCCUGACCCAGCGACGCCGCGUGAGGGAAGAAGGCCUUCGGGUUGUAAACCUCUUUUGUAUGGGAAGAAGGACGUGACGGUACCGUACGAAUAAGUCCCGGCUAACUACGUG
rnacentral:rRNA from 1 species